UCUCCGUAGGUGAACCUGCGGAGGGAUCAUUACUGAGUGAGGGCCCCCGGUCCGACCUCCAACCCUUUGUGUAUCUCGACCCUGUUGCCUCGGGGGCGACCCGGCCUUCGGGCGUCGGGCCCCCCGGCGGACCACUCAACUCUGCAUCUUUGCGUCGGAGUUAAAGUAAAUUAAACAAAACUUUCAACAACGGAUCUCUUGGUUCCAGCAUCGAUGAAGAACGCAGC
rnacentral:misc_RNA from 1 species